GCCUACUGAACCAUUGCAUAUUGUUUUUACAGCGCAUGUCGUCGGUGCACUGCCCCGUGUCAAGGGAAAUACGGUGGUCAUCGUGGGAGUGACUGCUGACCUUUCAAAUAGCCUCGACGCAUCGCCCCGUAUCAUAUCAGGGCACGGCUGUGAUCAUCGUGGUCGUGUUUUUGUUGUGCCCCGCUGUGAGCGCCACCUGGAUAGCUGUUCAGCUCGGAGCAUCUCCGGGUGUACUGAACCACACUUUGGCAGCAGCAGCGGAUCUGCGCACAGCCUACUGAACCAUUGCAUAUUGUUUUUACAGGUCAGUACUAUCGUUGUUUCUUUCCUUAGUGUUCUGUUGCUUUCUGCUGCUGCUGCUGCUGCUGCCAUAGUGUUUUUAGUGUUUUUUGAUGUCGCCAGCCGAAAUGGAAAAACAUUUUAAAGAGUUGAAACAAGAGUUUCGCGAAAUGCGGACUGCCCUGGAGAGAGAGCUGCGUAAGGAAAUACGUGAUGUGAAAACAAGUCUAGACUUUUUUAAUAAGCAGUUUGAAGAAAUUUCGGCUCUGUGCUCGCGGCUUGAAAAAGAAAACGGUGAGCUAAAGGCUCAAAAUGAUGUUCUGAAGACUGAUUGCAGUCAGCUGAAGCAGGUCGUUCUCAACAAUGAACGUAGGACUACCGCCCUAGAACAGUACUCGCGAAACCGAAAUAUUGAAGUGAAAAAUGUUCCUUUCGUGGAGGGUGAACGGUUGACCAGGGUCGUUCAGAAGAUUGGUGAAGCUGUCGGCGAAUCAGUGAAAGAAGAUGACAUAGAAAUUU